GGACAGGUGGUCGAGUGGUUAAUGGCACCGGGCUGUAAACCCGGCGGCGUGAGCCUGCGGAGGUUCGAAUCCUUCCCUGUCCACCA
rnacentral:tRNA from 2 species